CCUACGGGAGGCAGCAGUGGGGAAUAUUGCACAAUGGGCGCAAGCCUGAUGCAGCCAUGCCGCGUGUGUGAAGAAGGCCUUCGGGUUGUAAAGCACUUUCAGCGGGGAGGAAGGCGUUAAGGUUAAUAACCUUGUCGAUUGACGUUACCCGCAGAAGAAGCACCGGCUAACUCCGUGCCAGCAGCCGCGGUAAUACGGAGGGUGCAAGCGUUAAUCGGAAUUACUGGGCGUAAAGCGCACGCAGGCGGUCUGUCAAGUCGGAUGUGAAAUCCCCGGGCUCAACCUGGGAACUGCAUUCGAAACUGGCAGGCUAGAGUCUUGUAGAGGGGGGUAGAAUUCCAGGUGUAGCGGUGAAAUGCGUAGAGAUCUAGAGGAAUACCGGUGGCGAAGGCGGCCCCCUGGACAAAGACUGACGCUCAGGUGCGAAAGCGUGGGGAGCAAACAGGAUUAGAUACCCGAGUAGUC
rnacentral:rRNA from 1 species